rnacentral:rRNA from 1 species
GGUCAAGCUAGAAAGGGCACGUGGUGGAUGCCUUGGCGAAACCUGGCGAUGAAGGGCGUGGCAAGCUGCGAAAAACCCCGGUGAGGUGCAAGCAACCUUUGACCCGGGGGUACCCGAAUGGGGCAACCCUUCUGCCGUAACGGGCAGAAAUUCGCCGCAAGGCGAAAGCGAACCGGGGGAACUAAACCAUUUAAGUACCCCGAGGAAAAUAAAGAAAACAAUCGAUUCCCCUAGUAGCGGCGAGCGAACGGGGAAGAGCCCAAACCGUGUAAUGGUAAUAGCGUAGGUGCGUUCAUUAUGCGGGGUUGUAGGGUCUGACGUGAGAGGACCUACCCUCUUAACAGGUUUAAAAGUUUUUCAGGAUAGUUGAAUGGCCUGGAAAGGUCAACCACAGAAGGUGAAAGUCCUGUAAGUGAAAUUCUGAAAGCGCCUGAGUCGGAUUCCUGAGUACUACGGAGGUACCGUGAAGCUCCGUGGGAAACCGGGAGGACCACCUCCCAAGGCUAAAUACAAGGUUUCGACCGAUAGUGUACAAGUACCGCGAGGGAAAGGUGAAAAGAACCCCGGAAGGGGAGUGAAAUAGAACCUGAAACCGUGUGCCUACAAGCAGUCGGAGUCCCG